CCUCAUUCUUUAACUGCUCUUUUAACAACCCCUUCUCCGCCUCCUCCUCCUCAUCCUCCUCAUCUUCCUCCUCCUGCUGGUCUUCCUCGUCCUCUUUGUCCUGUUCCUCCUCCUCGUCCUCCUCCUCCAUUUACUUGUCCUCCUCCUCCUCCUCCUCCUCCUCCUCAUCCUCGUCCUCCUUGUCCUCCUUGUCAUCCUAGUCCUCCCCCUCCUCCUCCUCCUCCUCCUUGUCCUUUUCAUCCUUAUCCUCUUCCUCCUCAUCAUCCUCCUCCACAUCCUCAUUCUCAUCUUCUUCCUCCUCCUAUUCCUCCUCCUCCUUGUCUUCCUCGUCCUCCUCCUCCUUGUCCUCCUUAUCCUCCUCGUCCUCCUUGUCCUCCUCAUCCUUAUCCUCCUCUUACUCCUCAUCUUCCUCCUCCUCAUCCUCAUUCUCCUCCUUCUCCUCCUCCUCAUCUUCCUCCUCCCCCUCCUCCUCGUCCUCCCUAUCCUGCUCGUCCUCAUCCUCCUCGUCCUUCUCCUCCUGGUUCUCCUCAUCCUUGUCCUCCUACUACUUUUUUUUAUUCUCCUCCUUGUCCUCCUCCUACUCCUGUUCAUCUUCCUUCUCCUCCUCAUCCUCCUCCUCCUUGUCCUCCUUGUCCUCCUCAUCUUCAUCCUUUUCCUCAUCCUCAUCCUCCUCAUCCUCCUCAUCAUCCUCCUCCUCAUCCUCCUCCUCCUCCUUCUUUUCCUCCUCCUCCUCGUUCUCCUCCUCAUCAUCAUCCUCCUCAUCAUCCUCCUUGUCCUCGUUCUCUCUCUUCCUCCUCCUAUUCCUCCUCCUCAUCUUCCACAUCCUUUUCAUCCUCCUCUGCCUCCUCCUCCUCCUCUGUGUGUGUUUCUGAGGAUUCAAUGACUCUAGGAUUACAGGAACCCGGAACUCUGGGAUCCCAUGGCUCUGUGACCCCAUGGAUGGAUUCAGGACUGUCUCCAAGGCCACGAGGGAACGUUGGUGCCAGCGGGAGGGGCUGCAGUGCAGGGGCACC
rnacentral:lncRNA from 1 species